AACGAACGCUGGCGGCAUGCCUAACACAUGCAAGUCGAACGAGACCUUCGGGUCUAGUGGCGCACGGGUGCGUAACACGUGGGAAUUUGCCUCGGGGUAUGGAAUAACUCAGGGAAACUUGAGCUAAUACCAUAUAAUGUCUUCGGACCAAAGAUUUAUCGCCCUGAGAUAAGCCCGCGUAGGAUUAGCUAGUUGUGGGGUAAAGCUCACCAAGGCGACGAUCCUUAGCUGGUCUGAGAGGAUGAUCAGCCACACUGGGACUGAGACACGGCCCAGACUCCUACGGGAGGCAGCAGUGGGGAAUAUUGGACAAUGGGCGAAAGCCUGAUCCAGCAAUGCCGCGUGAGUGAUGAAGGCC
rnacentral:rRNA from 1 species